ACAUGCCUACAACAUGGAGUUAAUGUAGAAGAUCCCAUUAGAAAUUCAUAGUUAAGCAUGCUUAGGAUAGAGUAGUACUAGGAUGGGUGACCACCCAGGAAGUCCUAGUGUUUUACAUGCC
rnacentral:rRNA from 1 species